rnacentral:rRNA from 1 species
AUGGCAAGCCCAAGCCAGCAGCUGCCACCUCUAGCGGAUCAUGUCACCGGCCUAUGGGAUAGACUCCCUGCAUGCAAAUUGGUGGUUCAUGGACGUAUAUAUCCAAGAGGCGCUACAGAAUCUCUUAUAAGACGGAUUGAUAUGCAUGGAGGAACUACAAGUUUGAUCAGCACCGGACCAUGUGUCAUGCACAACGAGUCGCGGAUUCAACAUGUGCCCGGGACUGAACAAACAAGUACCAGCAGCAGGUCAGCAUUGUGCGCUCGGCCGUACUUACGGGUAGUGUCAGCCAUGACUUGA